rnacentral:Y_RNA from 1 species
GGCUGGUCCAAAGGUAAUGAGUUAUCUCACCUGAUUGUUCACAGUCUGUUACAGAUUGAACUCCUUGUUCUACUGCUUUCCCCACUUUCUACUGCACUUGACUAGUCUAAA